UGCAGUCGAGCGACGGACGAGAAGCUUGCUUCUCUGAUGUUAGCGGCGGACGGGUGAGUAACACGUGGAUAACCUACCUAUAAGACUGGGAUAACUUCGGGAAACCGGAGCUAAUACCGGAUAAUAUUUUGAACCGCAUGGUUCAAAAGUGAAAGACGGUCUUGCUGUCACUUAUAGAUGGAUCCGCGCUGCAUUAGCUAGUUGGUAAGGUAACGGCUUACCAAGGCAACGAUGCAUAGCCGACCUGAGAGGGUGAUCGGCCACACUGGAACUGAGACACGGUCCAGACUCCUACGGGAGGCAGCAGUAGGGAAUCUUCCGCAAUGGGCGAAAGCCUGACGGAGCAACGCCGCGUGAGUGAUGAAGGUCUUCGGAUCGUAAAACUCUGUUAUUAGGGAAGAACAUAUGUGUAAGUAACUGUGCACAUCUUGACGGUACCUAAUCAGAAAGCCACGGCUAACUACGUGCCAGCAGCCGCGGUAAUACGUAGGUGGCAAGCGUUAUCCGGAAUUAUUGGGCGUAAAGCGCGCGUAGGCGGUUUUUUAAGUCUGAUGUGAAAGCCCACGGCUCAACCGUGGAGGGUCAUUGGAAACUGGAAAACUUGAGUGCAGAAGAGGAAAGUGGAAUUCCAUGUGUAGCGGUGAAAUGCGCAGAGAUAUGGAGGAACACCAGUGGCGAAGGCGACUUUCUGGUCUGUAACUGACGCUGAUGUGCGAAAGCGUGGGGAUCAAACAGGAUUAGAUACCCUGGUAGUCCACGCCGUAAACGAU
rnacentral:rRNA from 1 species